rnacentral:rRNA from 1 species
AGAGUUUGAUCCUGGCUCAGAGUGAACGCUGGCGGCAGGCCUAAUACAUGCAAGUCGAACGGCAGCACAGCAGAGCUUGCUCUGUGGGUGGCGAGUGGCGGACGGGUGAGGAAUACAUGGGAAUCUGCCCAGUCGUGGGGGAUAACGUAGGGAAACUUACGCUAAUACCGCAUGCGCCCUUCGGGGGAAAGCCGGGGACCUUCGGGCCUGGCGCGAUUGGAUGAGCCCAUGUCGGAUUAGCUAGUUGGCGGGGUAACGGCCCACCAAGGCGACGAUCCGUAGCUGGUCUGAGAGGAUGAUCAGCCACACUGGAACUGAGACACGGUCCAGACUCCUACGGGAGGCAGCAGUAGGGAAUAUUGGACAAUGGGCGCAAGCCUGAUCCAGCCAUGCCGCGUGAGUGAAGAAGGCCUUCGGGUUGUAAAGCUCUUUUGUCCGGAAAGAAAAGCUUCGGGUUAAUACCCUGGAGUCCUGACGGUACCGGAAGAAUAAGCACCGGCUAACUUCGUGCCAGCAGCCGCGGUAAUACGAAGGGUGCAAGCGUUACUCGGAAUUACUGGGCGUAAAGCGUGCGUAGGUGGUUUGUUAAGUCUGAUGUGAAAGCCCUGGGCUCAACCUGGGAAUGGCAUUGGAUACUGGCAGGCUAGAGUGCGGUAGAGGGCAGUGGAAUUCCCGGUGUAGCAGUGAAAUGCGUAGAGAUCGGGAGGAACAUCUGUGGCGAAGGCGACUACCUGGACCAGCACUGACACUGAGGCACGAAAGCGUGGGGGAGCAAACAGGAUUAGAUACCCUGGUAGUCC